CAGGGCCGACGGUCCGUCGCGUGCACUUCCUGUAGAGUGCAUGAGGAAAGUCCGGGCAACACAGAGCACCACACUCCCCUCGGGGAGGCCGCAGAAAUGUGGCAGCAGUGUGACAGAAAAUAACCACCGCCCCUCAGAGGUGCGGCAAGGGUGAAAAGGCGGUGUAAGAGACCACCGGGCCGGAUGGCGACAUUCGGUGCCGCACACCUUGUGGGUUGCAAGGUCAAGUAUACCGGCAUUCAAGGGCUGCUCGUCCAUUGCCGGGGGGUAGACUGCGCAAGAUAAAUGACGGACGGUAAGGGACCGGUCAGCCCUCGGGCUGAAACCCUCCCCCCACAUAACCUGGCUUACACUCGGCUCUCCCUG
rnacentral:RNase_P_RNA from 1 species